CUCCCCAAAGUCCCUGACUCCCGUGUGGCGUUUAUAGAGUCUCUGAAGAGAGCAGAUAAAAUCCCCCCAUCUCUGUACUCCACCUACUGUCAGGCCUGCUCCGCUGCUGAAGAAAAGCCAGAAGAUGCAGCCCUGGGAGUGAGGGCAGAACCCAGCUCUGCUGAGGAGCCCCUGGGACAGCUCAGAGCUGCACUGGGAGAGCUGAGAGCCUCCAUGACAGACCCCAGCCAGCGUGAUGUUAUAUCAGCACAGGUGGCAGUGAUUUCUGAAAGACUGAGGGCUGUCCUGGGCCACAAUGAGGAUGACAGCAGCGUUGAGAUAUCAAAGAUUCAGCUCAGCAUCAACACGCCGAGACUGGAGCCACGGGAACACAUGGCUGUGGACCUCCUGCUGACGUCUUUCUGUCAGAACCUGAUGGCUGCCUCCAGUGUCGCUCCCCCGGAGAGGAGCACGCGGCGAUGCUGAGUUUCAUCAAAUAG
rnacentral:sRNA from 1 species